GUCAGAUCCAGCUGAAAGUUCUGGAUAUCUGUCCCGUUGUCAUCCUGAAUCCCGUAGAUGAGCGUGCGGCGAGUGGUGCUCUCCGUCAGACUGGUGGCCACUGUCGCCUUGGGCGUCUUCAUUAUGGGCACACUGUUGAAAAAGAAUGUGAUACAGGUUUGGAAUGAUGUGAGGGAGAAACAUAAGCUCUGUCUCACCGUAUGAGAUCCAGGAGAGCAUCAGCGGAGCUCAUGAUAGGUUUCCCGCUGUCCUCUGAGUCUUCCUUCUGUGCCAUUCCACCUGGAUGGAUGAUCAACACCAUGACAAUUCCCACCACCACAGCCAGGAAGGUGGUCCACAGGUAGUAAGAGACCGUGAUGAGGCCCAGCCGACUGGAACACUUUGCAUCCAGAGCCGCCAGACCAGACAUCAAACUGAAAGAGAGCAGAUAGAGGCACAGUGUAAUGGAGAGUUCACAAAGAAACUUUUGUUGAAAGAUGAAGCAGCCGACUGUAUUAGAUCUGUAUUGGAUUGGACAGCAGCUGCAUCACAAACUAUUGGCAUGCAUUAUAUGACUGACAGACAGCAACGGUUGCAGUUAAAAAUCAUCAUUUGU